AUGUCGGGCCUUCUGACCAGCUCUCUUCUGCUCUUCCUCUCCCUGACGCUGUUUCAGAUCCCCACACCAGAGGCAAAGCCUCUCUCUACCAUGCAUGGAGGAGGUCGCAGCUUUGACACCCAGGCAGGUGGAGUCCGUCUGCGAAGAGACCUGCGUGAUUCAGUGCCCUACGAGGCCCAGAUGAUGUCUUACCCCGCUGCUGACUUCAGGAGUCGGAGCAAUGAUCUGUACUACCAACCAGAGGUCUUAAGAGCUCAAGGUGUUGGACAAGCCCUCCAGCGGCUAGUGGAGAAUGAUCAGAGGCGGGAUCAGGAAGCAGCAUAUCUGGCAUCAAUGCUGCGUCUCCUGAACGAGGCACAGAAUAACGGGCAGGGCAAACCAGAGGAAGAGGAGGAGGAGGAGGGUGAUUUCCAGGGCCCGUACCCUCCAGACUACGACGAGACCGAGCAGGCUGUGAGCAUGGCGAAGCCCCAGGCCUCAUGGCAGGGCCUUCUGGAUCCUCAGCUUACUCAGGCUCUACUCAACCGCUACAAGCAGGAGAGACUGAUGCAGGCUGGACUCGCUCCGAACACCAACAGGAUACCAGAGAGAGAGCAGGACAAAGACCAAGAGAUGCUCAGGUACCUUGUUGAGAAGAUCCUCUCCAGCUUGGGAUCGGGUGGCAAUCAGGGAGGCCCUUCAAACCAGCGUGCUAAACGGGACCUGAGCAUUGUGGCCAACAUGGAGCAAUCUGGAGGAUCCGCCCUAAAACGCUCCCGCCGAUCCUUGGACUCCGCCCCUGGCCCCUCCCCCCAUGCUGAGGCAUCACUGCUGAGGGUGAAACGGCUCGAUGGCGACAUGGACGACGACGAGGUUGCAGGGCAGAGCAACAGAACGCCACACGUCGGUCUACAGAGAAUGAAGCGCAUAGACACUGACCUGCCACCCCCCAAAAACCACAGCCGCAAGCGCAGAGCCCUGACCUACGACCCCGCUCUGAUCGCACAGCACAUCCUGCAGUACCUGCCAGCCUAAAGAGUAUGUGAAAGUGAGAGGAAUAAAAGGGAAAUGUUUGGGGAAAUAGAGAGAAAUCUAGACAGACAGAGCAAGCAAGAGUUUCAGACGGGACUGCAACAUUUCACUAGAUUACAGAUACGCCAGUGUUCAUUUUCAUCUGCCUAAAUCUAUUCAAGGCCUGCUUGCCGAGGUACAUUGAUAUGAUGAUACUCUGUUUCAAUGUUAUACUAUAAUAAAUCCCACACACAUAACAGCUUAUGAAAUAUGCUUUUUGUUUUUCUUCUUUCUAGCUACAUUCUACAGAACGUAAGCCCUUUUCCACCACGGAAAAAAAAAAAUAAAAAGGUAACUGUGACUUUUUUUUCUUGCAAUUCUGGGUUUAUAUCUCACAAUUCUGACAUAAAAUCAGAAUUGUGAGAUCAAAAGUCGCAAUUACCUUUUAAAUUUUUUUAUUCCAUGGUGGAAACAGGAUUCCAUAGUACAGGCAUUAAUUGACCAUACUGACAUGGAAAUAAUUAGUUAUUGACUUGCACAAGUAGCGUGUUGCUGUUUUUGUCAGAAACAACAGGAUCAAAGUUACAUUUAACUUAAUUACAGAUUCAGAUUUUAAGUGAUGCUACACUAUAAAUAAGAUCUGUUUGAAUAUUGCUGCUGAUAACCCACUUGGUUCUUAAAAACAAAACCACAGCUUGACCAGGGUCAUGUAAGAGUGCAUUUAGGUGACGUUUUGUCGUGUACAUUGUUCUUACUGUAAGCCAUUUGCCACUUGGCAAUCCUGAGUUUCUCAGCAGAUGAAAGGAGCAUGACUCUGUUUCCUUAGAGAUCCAAAUAUAUCAGAGCUUUGCUACAGCUACAGUGAGUUUGGAGAUGCUCUGUUUCAUAUUGUGAGCAAAGUAACAGUAACUCACAGCUCAGUCAGUAACAGGCUCAAUCAGUGUCUACACCUACAGUACUGUUUUAGAAAUGAAACUUAAUUUAGAAUUUAGAAUUUUUUUUUAGAAACAAAUGAUUGAGAAACGAAAAUGUCUGAAAUCUAUUUAUUGCAUAAGAUAUCCAGUACAGGUUUAAACAGCACAACACAUCAGAUCAGUUGCUUUAUACAGCAGUAAUCAGCAGCACUACAUGAGUUUAGACUCAAAAAGAGCCUGUCUAAAUGUCAAACAUGCUCUAAGUUAGUUUCCUGUCCUCUCUUUCUCUGAUUGGCUGUCUAAAGUAGUGUGCCAUUUUCUUAGUGUCAUAUGCAUCCUAUCAAAGCUUGAUGAAGUGUUUUUGUCCCUUGACUUGGCUUUGAAACACUCUGUCUGAUACUAAUCGCUGUCCCAACUUUCUGCCCUCUGGGUCUGUAAUCUGACUGUUAUGAAUUUGUGAAGGAAAUCGUAGCUAUAUAAUCGUAUAUAAAUGCUUAUUUGUGCAGUCAUAAAAUCUUGUACAAAAAUACAUUACUGCAAAAAUACAAUACUGCAAGUUUUGUCAAACAACAAAAAUCAGUGUAAGUGCUAAUAAAGUGUAUGUGAACUACAACAUUUUGUUUAGAACUCUGCAUUGCUUUUACAGUGGAAGUGGAUUAGAAAAUACAUCUCAUUCAACAUUUAAUGCAACGGCUUGAUAAAGUCAUAACCUAUUAGCAUUAUAUCUGAAACAAGCACAACUGACAAUGACUUUUUAUAUUUUAAUGGUGGCUGAAGACAAUUACGAUUACAACAGUGACAUGCAGUUUUAAAGUCAGCAUGAAACAAAAGUUGGAAUCUACUUUACUACCAUAUUGUGAUGUGUUUCCAUGUGAAACAUGAGAAAUUUAUCAUUACGGUACAUCACUUGCUCACCAAUGGAUCCUCUGCAGUGAAUGGGUGCCGUCAGAAUGAGAGUCCAAACAGCUGAUAAAAACAUCACAAUAAUCCACAAGUAAUCCACACCACUCCAGUCCAUCAGUUAACGUCCUGUGAAGUGAAAAGCUGAGUGUUUGUAAGAAACAAAUUCAUCAAGUUUUUUUUUUAAACUUCACUUCCGGCUAAAAUACAAGUCCAUAAUCCAUAAUAACACUUCCUCCAGAGAAAAUGUCCAUCUCCUGUUGUCCUUUCACAUCAAAAUCCACUGACAUAUUUAUUUAGAAUUAAUUAGGACUGUUUUUCCUUGUAAACAGUGUGUUAUCUGUGCAUAUUUCUCUCCUGAAUCAGAUGAGAUUACUUUUUCACUGGAGAAAGCAAUAUUAUGGAUAGAGGACUCAUAUUUUUGCAAUGGUUUGAAGUUAAAAAAAUGUCUUCAUGAUGGCUUUGUUUCUUACAAACACGCAGCUUUUCACUUCACAAACUGUUAAUUGCUGAACUGGACUGGAGUGGUGUGGAUUACUUGUGGAUUAUUGUGAUGUUUUAUCAGCUGUUUGGACUCUCAUUCUGACGGCACCCAUUCACUGCAGAGGAUCCAUUGGUGAGCAAGUCAUGUAAUGCUACAUUUCUCCAAAUCUGUUCUGAUGAAGAAACAAACUCAUUUAAAUUUUGGAUAAGAAAAUAAAUAGGCAAAUUUUGAUUUUGUGCUGACUGAAAUAUGAGCACUGUAAUUUGCUACCUUUAGCUUAAAGAUGAUCAAAUCAGUAAAUCUAAACGAUUAAGACUUUACUGACCAAAAACAAAACAAACUAAACAGAUUUACAGUAUUAUUAUGCUGAAUCUCUAAUUACAUAUAAAUUCAGACCUCAUCUUAAAUUCAUGCACAAAAACAUCUAGAACAUGGAAUCAAACAUCACAGUCAAUCCUCUAAAUAUCAUUUAAUUGAAAACCAAAUGUCUUCUGUGAUCACAGAGACCUCGACUAUACCUCCUCUUGGAAAUGCACUAAAGAAAAUGGCCUUGCCUCUUCUCUAUUUAGAGCCGCCAUUACAAGAUCAGAGUAAUGUUCCUCCGUCAGGGGAGAAAGGACUCAGAUACUGUUGCCAGGUGACUGUUUCUAUGCAGACAGGUUAUGUAAGCAGAAUUCACAGGACGGUGACAUCAUGCUGAGGGGGAAGAGAGAAGCGUCUCUUCACAUGUUUUAUGUCAUCAUUAUUUGUCAAGAGAGAAGUUCACAAACAAGGUGAUGAAACAGCCACCUGAGAGGGUGAGAAAGAACAGUGACGUGA
rnacentral:lncRNA from 12 species